GAGGAGGCUGUUCAAUAUUAUGAGUUAGCUCUCUACCAGGCCACUCAUCAUUUUUGGCCCACCACAGAGAAAUGUCAUAACAAAUGCAUCAGUUCUACUCUUAGAAAGUUCAAUGUGAUGGAGGAUAAAAACACCUACAUGGUAUGUAUGAACGCUCUCUCUAUGGGUGGAAUGGAUCUUGGGAAUGACACUAUGGAAGUGGUAUCUCCUUUAACCUGGUACUUCUUUAUCCUUCAAGUACUUUAGCUCUUAUUUUUGAUAGGGUGGGAAAAAGCUUGUUAUUUUUUUCUUAGGCUGGAUGUUGCUUUUAUUCUGUUAGAACUCUUGAUGGAAAAACAAUCGAAGCUGAC